AAACGACAAAACCCCCUGUGGUCCCUCGUGUGUUUAUUGGGAGAACAUGCAUUGGAGGAUUUUCAGAUCUGCAGAAGAUGCAACAGCAGCUCCCCACGAUGCUACACCAGAUUGGUGCUCUGGUGUAGCUGAAGGGAGAGAUGACCACAAACUGUGACCUCACCAUUUCGACAUGCACACAUCUUGGAGCAGUUUCCUUCCAUCUGCUUUCUGUAGGACCGAAUGCAUCUUUGUGGGGAAUGUGACUUCUCUUUUCAUUCUUGUGUGCCUCAAUAUGCCACAUCUCUUCAUACUUUCUGUAGUUCUGGAAAGAAGUCUGGACUGUUAAACGAUUUAGCUCAAUAAAAUAUACUCGUACAAAGUG